ensembl:lincRNA 1700042G15Rik RIKEN cDNA 1700042G15 gene
AACAGUCAUACUGGUGGCAGGAGCACAGAGCAGUGCCUCUUGAUUGCUGGUUCAGGGGGAAUGACCCCAAGCAUUUGAGGAGAGGAGAGCCUGUGGUCAGCUGUUUCGUUUUGGGGUUCUUCCUGGCCCUUAGAAGACCGAGAUGUGCCCGACUGCACAGAAGACGAAGUUGAAGUCACUCUUCUAGAAACUGCCUGGUGCAGAUGCCAUGGUGACAGAUAUGAAAAGGAUGGGCCUUUGAACAUGGCUCAGCUCACCAGACAUGACAUCUGGA